CCUACGGGUGGCUGCAGUGAGGAAUAUUGGUCAAUGGACGAGAGUCUGAACCAGCCAAGUAGCGUGAAGGAUGACUGCCCUAUGGGUUGUAAACUUCUUUUAUAUGGGAAUAAAUUGUUCCACGUGUGGGAUUUUGUAUGUACCAUAUGAAUAAGGAUCGGCUAACUCCGUGCCAGCAGCAGCGGUAAUACGGAGGAUCCGAGCGUUAUCCGGAUUUAUUGGGUUUAAAGGGAGCGUAGGUGGAUUUUUAAGUCAGUUGUGAAAGUUUGCGGCUCAACCGUAAAAUUGCAGUUGAAACUGGCAGUCUUGAGUACAGUAGAGGUGAGCGGAAUUCGUGGUGUAGCGGUGAAAUGCUUAGAUAUCACGAAGAACUCCGAUUGCGAAGGCAGUUCACUGGACUGCAACUGACACUGAGGCUCGAAAGUGUGGGUAUCAAACAGGAUUAGAUACCCUUGUAGUC
rnacentral:rRNA from 1 species